GGCAGAGUGGUGUAGUAGUUUGAGUGUUGGACUAUGACUCUGGAGACUAGGGUUCGAAUCUCGGUUCAGCCA